UCCUGACCCACCCCCUUGCAGUGAAGGACAUGGCCUGAUAAAUGUUACGGUUGUGAAGGACAGAUGUCAACAGAUGUAAAGGACAGAUGUCUACAGAUGUAAAGGACAGAUGUCUACAGAUGUAAAGGAAAGAUGUGUACAGAUGCAUAGGACAGAUGUAUAUAGAUGUAUACAGAUGUAAAGGACAGAUGUAUGCAGAUG